rnacentral:rRNA from 1 species
GACGAACGCUGGCGGCGUGCUUAACACAUGCAAGUCGAACGAUGAAGAAAAGAAUUGCAGCUUCGGCAGAAAUUCAUCUCGGAUUAGUGGCAGACGGGUGAGUAACGCGUGAGCAACCUACCUCUUACAAAGGGAUAGCCUCGGGAAACCGGGAUUAAUACCAUAUAACAUUGCGACGAAGCAUUUCGAUGCAAUCAAAGCUACGGCGGUAAGAGAUGGGCUCGCGUCCCAUUAACCAGAUGGUGAGGUAACGGCUCACCAUAGUAACGAUGGGUAACCGGCCUGAGAGGGUGAACGGUCACACUGGAACUGAGACACGGUCCAGACUCCUACGGGAGGCAGCAGUGGGGAAUAUUGCACAAUGGAGGGAACUCUGAUGCAGCGACGCCGCGUGAGUGAUGAAGGAAUUCGUUUCGUAAAACUCUGUUCUAUGGGAAGAAAAGGACUGUACCAUAGGAGAAAGCUCCGGCUAAAUACGUG